UCAAGUUAUUAAGGGUGUAGGGCGGAUGCCUUGGCACUAGGAGCCGAUGAAAGACGUGAUAAGCUGCGAUAAGCUUCGGGGAGUGGCACAUACACUUUGAUCCGGAGAUUUCUGAAUGAGGAAACUCACUUGGAGUAAUGUCCAAGUAUCCAUAGGUGAAUACAUAGCCUAUGGAGGGGAACUCAGGGAACUGAAACAUCUAAGUACCUGAAGGAAGAGAAAGAAAUUCGAUUCCGCUAGUAGCGGCGAGCGAACGCGGAAGAGCCCAAACCAAGUCAGUUUACUGAUUUGGGGUUGCGGACAUAUCUUAAGGAAAGGUUAUUGCGAGUAGAAUAGGUCUGGAAAGACCAACCACAGAGGGUAAAAGUCCCGUAUACAAAGCCAAGAAAGUUCUUGAUAUGAUCCAGAGUACCACGAGACACGUGAAACCUUGUGGGAAGCAGGGGGGACCACCCCCCAAGGCUAAAUACUACCUAGUGACCGAUAGCGAAUAGUACCGUGAGGGAAAGGUGAAAAGAACCCCGGGAGGGGAGUGAAAUAGAACCUGAAACCCUACACUUACAAGCUGUGGGAGCGCAUUAUUCGCGUGACCGCGUACUUUUUGUAGAACGGGCCAACGAGUUACGUUAUGUGGCAAGGUUAAGCACUUAAGGUGUGGAGCCGAAGCGAAAGCGAGUCUUAACUGGGCGCCAUAGUCACAUGACGUAGACCCGAAACCGGGCGACCUACCCAUGAGCAGGAUGAAGCGAAAGUAAAAUUUCGUGGAGGUCCGAACCCACGUACGUUGAAAAGUGCGGGGAUGACUUGUGGGUAGCGGUGAAAUUCCAAUCGAGCUCGGAGAUAGCUGGUUCUCCCCGAAAUAGCUUUAGGGCUAGCCUUGAAAUUUAGAGAUGUGGAGGUAGAGCACUGAAUGUCCUAGGGGGUAUUGCACUUACCGAAGACUAUCAAACUCCGAAUGCCAUUAUCUUUUGUUCAGGAGUCAGACUAUGGGUGAUAAGGUUCAUAGUCGAAAGGGAAAGAGCCCAGACCGUCAGCUAAGGUCCCUAAAUGUAUGUUAAGUGGUAAAGGAUGUGGGAUUGCACAGACAACCAGGAUGUUGGCUUAGAAGCAGCCACUCAUUUAAAGAGUGCGUAAUAGCUCACUGGUCGAGUGAUCCUGCGCCGAAGAUUUCCGGGGCUAAAACAUACUACCGAAGCUACGGCAUCAUAUGAUGAUGGGUAGGGGAGCUUCCCAUGCAGGCUGAAGCGAUACCGUAAGGAGUCGUGGACAGUAUGGGAGAGAGAAUGUUGGCAUGAGUAGCGAGAUGAGGGUGAGAAUCCCUCAGGCCGUAAACCCAAGGUUUCCAGGGGAAGGUUCGUCCUCCCUGGGUUAGUCGGGACCUAAGCUCAGGCCGAAAGGCGUAGGCGAUGGACAACAGGUUGAGAUUCCUGUACUACCGAUAAUCGUUUGAGAGAAGGGAUGACACAGUAGGAUAAGCUGAGCACACUGUUGGUUAAGUGUGUCUAAGCGUUGAGGCAGACUAGAUAGGCAAAUCCGUUUAGUUAAUGCUGGGGCGCGAUGGGGAGCGAAACUAAGUAGCGAAGCAGCUGAUUUCACACUGUCGAGAAAAGUCUCUAUCGAGAUUAAAGGUACCCGUACCGCAAACCGACACAGGUGGGUGAGGAGAGUAUCCUAAGGCCAGCGAGAGAACUGUUGUUAAGGAACUCGGCAAAAUGACCCCGUAACUUAGGGAUAAGGGGUGCCCCAGCAAUGGGGCCGCAGAGAAUUGGCCCAAGCGACUGUUUACCAAAAACAUAGGUUUCUGCUAAGUCGCAAGACGAUGUAUAGGAGCUGACGCCUGCCCGGUGCUGGAAGGUUAAGGGGAUCUGUUAGAGCAAUCGAAGCAGUGAUCUUAAGCCCCAGUAAACGGCGGCCGUAACUAUAACGGUCCUAAGGUAGCGAAAUUCCUUGUCGGGU
rnacentral:rRNA from 1 species